UAUAGUAGCUGUAGUAACUUACAAAAAAAAAAAGUUAAAAAAAAAGGCAAAACCAAGUUAAAGAACCAAAACCAUCAACAGUUCAGCACCGCCCAAAUUUCUUUCCCAUGUUCUCCAUCUUCCUCCUUCUCCCACCACGACUUCCACAGUUAAGGAUUGAAGAGUUCAUUUUCCCAAAUCCAAAAUGACAGAGUUCCCUUCAAUCCAAAUCUAGAGUUUUUUUUUCGUAUUUUCAAUUCUUCUCCGGCGAACAUUUCUGCGCGGCGACGUAUUAUCUGGCGAACAUAUUUCCCGGCUGCGUGUGGUUGAAUUACCAAGUCAAAGACUUUGAAUCACUCUUAAUCGUCUUGAAAUAUGCCAAAGAUUUGCUCAAAUGGGUUUAGGAUUCCAAUAAAUUUUAUCAGCAACACCUAGGUUUAGGAUGGGAAGUAGGGUGGCGCUGAAGAAGGGGACUGGGCAAGGGAAGUUGAUUGAGCAACUUUUCGAGGUGGAAGGCUUCCUAGUACGAGUUGUCGAGUUCUACGCUUCAUUUGAAGGAAACAUCAGAAGAUCGUGCAGGUCAGGGGAAGAAGCAGUGGAUAGCUCGAUUUGUUGCAAUUGGGUUAGCCUGUGUCCUAGAAGUUCUUGUAGGAUCAUGUGUUUUUUUUACUUUUUACUGAGAAGAAACCUUCAAGAUUUUUGACGAAUGGACGGUCCCUUGUUUGAUUUUUCUAGAAUUAUAACUUCUAUGAGAAACAUAAGCUAGGAGAAGGUGGUUUUUACCCUGUCUUCAAGGGUGUCCUACAAGACGGAACCAAAGUUGCUUCCAAACGGCUCUCUAAUACAUCUAAUCAAGGAACGGAUGAAUUUACAAAUGAAAUUCUUCUAAUCACGAGGUUUUAACACAAGAAUCUGGCCAGGCUAUUGGGAUUUUGUGUAGAGGGAGCUGAAAGGCUGAUCAUCUAUGAACUUAGGUCUUCUGGCGGCUUAGAUUCAUGGCUUUAUGAUCCACUAAACAGUGCACAGAUGACAUAGCCGGAGAAAACGACUUGACAUCAUCAAUGGGAUUGCUCAUGGAGUCCUUUAUCUGUACAAGGAUUCCCGACUGACAAUCAGAUACCGAUACUUAAAGCCUAGCAAAAACUGUUGGAUUCAAAUUUCAGACCUGAAUCCUAAGAUUUCAGACUUUGGAAAUGCCAGAAUCUAUGGAGCUGAAACUGAAGCAAGCACUGUCACUAUAAUUUGGUACAUAGUAUGUUCUUUUACCAGCUUAUUGAUUCUGCAACCAUGUCCUUUCCCUUUCGGUUUUCUUGAAUAGAUGACUAAUGCUACAAAAGAGGAGAUGGCAUCAUACUUGAAGCGUGGGUCCAUUGCUGGUGCUACUGGAAGCACUAAUAUGAAUAGCCAGUCAAGGUACUUGCACACUAAUUUAAUUCCAAACCUUAAAGUUUAGUAAUUUUCAAACAUAUCCUGCUCGUUCCUGUCCACCUACAUUCUCCUCUGCCUCAAAAUGUUUUGCCUACCUUUGAAGUUUGUGAGUCACAACAGGGAAAUAUUUGGAGCGGAGGGAUUAUUAAUAUUGUGGUUGUUUGCCUUACUUUUUCUAGAGAAGUCAGCAAAAGCCUUGCUGAGAUGUUAUGGUUUCUUAUUAGAUUAAAAUAUUAUUUUUAGGUGAACCGAAGUUCUGUAAAGUUGGAUAUUUACAGGAAGUUCUCAAAUGCACUGGUUGUUUCAGUGAUUGCUUUAGUUGCAUGGAUAGUAUGCGAGGUAUGGUUUUUUCUAAAUUGAAAUCCAAAGGUGGAAUACGUACUAAUAAUAGUACUAGAAAAUACUUUAAGCCUUGUAAUACUUUCUUGGAUGCAGUACAAGAUUACAAGUAGCAAAACGAUAAUAAUAAAAGAAGAAUACUUGAAAGAGAACAAAGACUUAAGUUGUAGAGCAAUCUUUGAAAGAUGCAGUAGUCUUAACUAGUUUUCAUAUUUCGUACAGCAUACACGUAAGAAGAGGGGCCUUCAAACGAAAUCACGGGGGGAUGUCAAGAGUAAAACAUGGCCAUUGUAGGAGAAAUGAUAUUUUUUAUGGCCAGGAGCUUUAGUAAUUAGAGUUUUUCCUAGAAAAUAGUUGAUACUCUUAAAAGGAGUCAUUUAGAAUGUCUUUUUUAUUUAAUUAUCACAUGAAAAAAAAUAGAGAAACAUUGAUCAGAUUUUAAUUUGGGUCAUAGAAGGGGUGAUCUAUGAUAAAAAUAUCUAUGCUUUUUACUACCGUGUUUCCCGUGUGUUGGCUAACAUUUCUUUUUGACUUGUCCUUUUGGCCAUGCAGUUUGGCCAACAAGCAUCGGGAGAAGUUUGAGUUAGUAACUCAUUUUUAUUGGUGUAUUUCAAGGCUACAUAUCCUUUUAAUGAGCGGUAGCAGAGUGCUUAAGUUAUCACUUCCUUUUGGGACAUUCUGGCAUUUGCAGUGCUAUGUAUAAUUUUAUAUCUAUGGACUCCAUCUCUUAGCUCUCAAAGAGCACUUUUUGGUUUCCAAAGUUAAAAAGGAUUGUUGAAGAAUAUAAAAAAGGGAGCACUAAGUGGAUACAUAUACAAUGUGCUUGGUAAAAGAAUGACAUGGAUUCUGGAUAUUAUGUCAUGAGAUACAUGAAAGAGAUCAUCGACCAUAAGCAAAGUCGAAUACUUGAAGAUUACUUUCAUGAUUGCAAUGUUUCAAAUUAUGAUCAAGGACAAAUUGAUGAAGUCAGAGCUCAAUGGACGCGUCAUGUUCUUCUCGUGUGAAUAUUGUAGUGGAUUAAUUAUGUUUUUCGACUGGAAUUUCUCUAGAACGUUUUAAUUUUAUUUUAUUGGUUUGAAAUUAAAAGAAAUACUAUAUGACAAGGAUACUUCUUUCUUUUUUCUAGUGUGUUUUUAUUCUACUGUGUAUUUAGGGACAUAUGAUUUUAAGUUAUGCAUGAGACAUCGAGACUUUUAUUUGAUAUGAUAGAAAUGA